UUCCUUUUGUGGUUCAUAAGUGUGAUGAUUGGUUCUUUAUUUGCUGACAAGCAUGACACGUGCCACCCUCAAACCUUGUACGAACCAGCACAUUACUUGUCUGACA